GAAAGAAGUCGUGGUCAUUUGCCGCGUAUUGCCGCCACGUUAAACAAGGUGCUAAAAAGCGACCGCCCGCGGCAUU
rfam:Gemmatimonadetes bacterium 13_1_40CM_3_69_22 13_1_40cm_3_scaffold_6993, whole genome shotgun sequence.